rnacentral:rRNA from 1 species
CCUACGGGAGACAGCAGUGAGGAAUAUUGGUCAAUGGCCGGCAGGCUGAACCAGCCAUGCCGCGUGAAGGUCAGUGCCCUAUGGGCGUUAAACUUCUUUUGUGCGGGAGCAAUACUGUUCACGUGUGGCCAGACGAGGUUACCGUACGAAUAAGCAUCGGCUAACUCCGUGCCCGCCGCCGCGGUAAUACGGGGGAUGCAAGCGUUAUCCGGAUUUAUUGGGGUUAAAGGGUUCGUAGUCUGUGAGGUAAGUCAGCGGUGAAAUGACCCCGCUCACCGGGGUGAAGUGCCAUUGAUACUGCUUUGCUGGAAUGCGGAUGCCGUGGGAGGAAUGUGGGGUGUAGCGGUGAAAUGCAUAGAUAUCACACAGAACACCGAUUGCGAAGGCAUCUCACGAAUCCGCGAUUGACGCUGAUGCACGAAAGCGUGGGUAUCAAACAGGAUUAGAUACCCGUGUAGUC